UCUUGGUGCAUGCUCGCUAUUCAUUAUCUCAACAUAAUUGUAUUAAAUCAUCCUAUGUUUGAUUUCAAAAUAUCCAUGAGACUUCCCAACUUAGUGACACAUU